rnacentral:rRNA from 1 species
GGAUGAACGCUGGCGGCGUGCCUAAUACAUGCAAGUCGAGCGAAUGGAUUAAGAGCUUGCUCUUAUGAAGUUAGCGGCGGACGGGUGAGUAACACGUGGGUAACCUACCCAUAAGACUGGGAUAACUCCGGGAAACCGGGGCUAAUACCGGAUAAUAUUUUGAACUGCAUAGUUCGAAAUUGAAAGGCGGCUUCGGCUGUCACUUAUGGAUGGACCCGCGUCGCAUUAGCUAGUUGGUGAGGUAACGGCUCACCAAGGCGACGAUGCGUAGCCGACCUGAGAGGGUGAUCGGCCACACUGGGACUGAGACACGGCCCAGACUCCUACGGGAGGCAGCAGUAGGGAAUCUUCCGCAAUGGACGAAAGUCUGACGGAGCAACGCCGCGUGAGUGAUGAAGGCUUUCGGGUCGUAAAACUCUGUUGUUAGGGAAGAACAAGUGCUAGUUGAAUAAGCUGGCACCUUGACGGUACCUAACCAGAAAGCCACGGCUAACUACGUGCC